rnacentral:rRNA from 1 species
AUUGAACGCUGGCGGCAUGCCUUACACAUGCAAGUCGAACGGUAACAGGUCUUCGGAUGCUGACGAGUGGCGAACGGGUGAGUAAUACAUCGGAACGUGCCCGAUCGUGGGGGAUAACGCAGCGAAAGCUGUGCUAAUACCGCAUACGAUCUACGGAUGAAAGCGGGGGAUCGCAAGACCUCGCGCGGACGGAGCGGCCGAUGGCAGAUUAGGUAGUUGGUGGGGUAAAGGCUUACCAAGCCUGCGAUCUGUAGCUGGUCUGAGAGGACGACCAGCCACACUGGGACUGAGACACGGCCCAGACUCCUACGGGAGGCAGCAGUGGGGAAUUUUGGACAAUGGGCGCAAGCCUGAUCCAGCCAUGCCGCGUGCAGGAUGAAGGCCUUCGGGUUGUAAACUGCUUUGUACGGAACGAAAAGGUUCUUUCUAAUAAAGAGGGCUCAUGACGGUACCGUAAGAAUAAGCACCGGCUAACUACGUGCCAGCCGCCGCCGUAAGAC